rfam:Populus trichocarpa scaffold_15_contig_157, whole genome shotgun sequence.
UAAUCCAUCUCAAAUAAAUUCUUAUCUAGUUGUGGCAGAUUCAUAUAUAACUGCUUAGAAUCACUCGUUGCAGGUUAUAAACAUACACUGAGAUUAGUAA